rnacentral:rRNA from 1 species
AAUGGAUUGGAUUUGGGUGUUGCCAGCUUGUCUGGCUCGCCUUAAAGGAGUUAGCGAGUAUAGCAAUAUCGUCUGGCGUAAUAAGUUUCGCUGGUAAGAUUUGUGAAGCACGCUUCUAAUCGCCCUUGGGCAAUUUUUUGACUCUGGCCUCAAAUCAGGUAGGACUACCCGCUGAACUUAAGCAUAUCAAUAAGCGGAGGAAAAGAAACUAACAAGGAUUCCCCUAGUAACGGCGAGUGAAGCGGGAAGAGCUCAAAUUUGAAAUCUGGCGUCCUCAGGGCGUCCGAGUUGUAAUCUAUAGAAGUGUUUUCCGUGCUGGACCGUGUCCAAGUCCCUUGGAACAGGGUAUCAAAGAGGGUGACAAUCCCGUACUUGACACGACCACCAGUGCUCUGUGAUACACUUUCUACGAGUCGAGUUGUUUGGGAAUGCAGCUCAAAAUGGGUGGUAAAUUCCAUCUAAAGCUAAAUAUUGGCGAGAGACCGAUAGCGAACAAGUACCGUGAGGGAAAGAUGAAAAGCACUUUGGAAAGAGAGUUAAACAGUACGUGAAAUUGUUGAAAGGGAAACGAUUGAAGUCAGUCGUGUUCUUUGGACUCAGCCGGUUCUGCCGGUCUACUUCCAUUGAACGGGUCAACAUCAGUUUUGUUCGGUGGAUAAAGGCAGGAGGAAAGUGGCACCCUCGGGUGUGUUAUAGCCUUCUGUCAUAUACACUGGGGGAGACUGAGGACUGCAGCUCGCCUUUAUGGCCGGGGUCGCCCACGU